CUCACUGGAUAAGUAUUCGCCUCCUUGAUCUGAUCGAAGAGUUCUAACACCUUAUCCAGUUUGUUUCUGUUGGUGCAAAAUUCCGUCGAUGUCGGAGAAGCUGGAGUCGAGGGGAUCACGGCCGCCAUCAGGACCUGCAAGAAAAGUCUAAACCAGAGUUGGGGGUGCUCUGGCAAGACCCUCCGAUGCUCAAGUCAGUACUCUGUUUCAACAGAAAUGGAGCACUCGAAUAGAAUUUUAGUAGAGUUUAGAGAUAGUGCUUAGAGGUUAGAGGAGAACAUAUCUGGGGGGGCCCUUUUAU
rnacentral:lncRNA from 1 species